GAAAAGAAGAAUCUUAACCACAUAUAUCAAACGCAUCAUCCCAAACAAGAUAUCUACAGUCUGAGAUGAUCAACAUUGUAACAACUUGUCUGGCCAUUCCUCGCUCAGCUAUGGGCUCUGUGAAGACUUUAAGAGGACAGUUGGAAUGUUUGGUUUAGUGGGCGUAACAUCUGUGGUCAUGUGCCGGAGAGAGACAGGAGGGGAAGGAGUUAUAGGAGAAGGGAACAGUUGGAAAGUUUGGUUUAGUGGGCGCAACAUCUGUGGUCAUAUGCCGGAGAGAGACAGAAGGGGAAGGAGUUAUAGGAGAAGGGAACAGUUGGAAAGUUUGGUUUAGUGGGCGCAACAUCUGUGGUCAUAUGCCGGAGAGAGACAGAAGGGGAAGGAUUUAUAGGAGAAGGGAACAGUUGGAAAGUUUGGUUUAGUGGGCGCAACAUCUGUGGUCAUAUGCCGGAGAGAGACAGAAGGGGAAGGAAUUAUAGGAGAAGGGAACAGUUGGAAGGUUUGGUUUAGUCGGCGCAACAUCUGUGGUCAUAUGCCGGAGAGAGACAGAAGGGGAAGGAGUUAUAGGAGAAGGGAACAGUUGGAAAGUUUGGUUUAGUGGGCGCAACAUCUGUGGGCAUAUGCCGGAGAGAGACAGAAGGGGAAGGAAUUAUAGGAGAAGGGAACAGUUGGAAAGUUUGGUUUAGUCGGCGCAACAUCUGUGGUCAUAUGCCGGAGAGAGACAGAAGGGGAAGGAAUUAUAGGAGAAGGGAACAGUUGGAAAGUUUGGUUUAGUGGGCGCAACAUCUGUGGUCAUAUGCCGGAGAGAGACAGAAGGGGAAGGAAUUAUAGGAGAAGGGAACAGUUGGAAAGUUUGGUUUAGUCGGCGCAACAUCUGUGGGCAUAUGCCGGAGAGAGACAGAAGGGGAAGGAAUCAUAGGAGAAGGAAACAGACCCCAGGAGA